rnacentral:rRNA from 1 species
CCUACGGGAGGCUGCAGUGGGGAAUAUUGGACAAUGGGCGAAAGCCUGAUCCAGCCAUGCCGCGUGUGUGAAGAAGGCCUUCGGGUUGUAAAGCACUUUCAGUGGGGAAGAAAGCCUUGGGGCUAAUACCCUCGAGGAAGGACAUCACCCACAGAAGAAGCACCGGCUAACUCCGUGCCAGCAGCCGCGGUAAUACGGAGGGUGCGAGCGUUAAUCGGAAUUACUGGGCGUAAAGCGCGCGUAGGCGGUCUGAUAAGCCGGUUGUGAAAGCCCCGGGCUCAACCUGGGAACGGCAUCCGGAACUGUCAGGCUAGAGUGCAGGAGAGGAAGGUAGAAUUCCCGGUGUAGCGGUGAAAUGCGUAGAGAUCGGGAGGAAUACCAGUGGCGAAGGCGGCCUUCUGGACUGAGACUGACGCUGAGGUGCGAAAGCGUGGGUAGCAAACAGGAUUAGAUACCCCAGUAGUC